CCUUGCAGUGUGUCUUUUGUAUUCAUAAGAUGUGGAAUAUUGCCUUGAUUCGUCGUGGGGGAAUUUGGUCCUGAUCGGCCAGUACCAGUCUCGUUUCGUUCCUGUAGAACAGGGGAGUUGCGUUUACCUUGCAUCGUCUCGUAUGUUUGAGGCGGUGAUAAGCUCUCUGUUGGGAAACCAGCCCUCGACAUCUUGUUAUAGUUGUUUAUAAGAGCCGUAUCAUCCAAGGAGAAUGUUCAAGAAGAAGAAAUCGCCCAUUUUUAAGGCUUUCUCGCACAAGAAAUAGCCAAACAUUGAAGAAAAA